UUUUCUAGGGCUGUUCCCAGUGACUGCUGGGCUGCUAUAACACCAGUCCAGACUGCCUGUCCUCUUUGGUUUCCUAAGUACAUUUUGAUUGCUGUUCGAAGUCCAUGGAGGCACUCCUUGUGGACGGGGCGGGGUGAGUGGAGGCCCACUGGGCAGACAGCAACGGAGGCAUCUGACUAGAGACAGAUUCGGUUCCUACUCAUGGGGGUCCCUGUUCCCCCAGGACUGACAGCAGCUUCCGGCCUUCUUCCACCGCCAGGUGUGGCAGGGAUCCACGGCUCACUGUUAGAUUCAGGUACAGUCAAAAGACUUCCGUGGGGAGAAGAGCCUUCUGGGGCACAGGUCGGUCCUGGUAGAUUACUUGAAUCCUUGUUGCCAGCGAGGUCCCAGGCACCAUCGCCUCUGUGUUGACUGUUGCUGACCAGUGUUUCUAAGUGCUCUUUUCCAGAAGGUUCUUCUGUGUGGCUGUGAGGAGCCAUGGGGAAGCUUGGAGCUGCUGUUACCCCCUGAACAGCUAGAGAGGAGGGAAGACCCAAUGCUGAUUCCUGCCUGCUUCUUCCCUGCUGUGAAUGAGCCUGAACAUCCUGAUCAGGCAACCCAGUCCCCUCUAGCUUCUCACUCGUCACCAUCAGUGAGUCACAGGUCACUUCUGCCUCAAUACUGGCACCUGGAAGGUUCUCCUCCAAGGCUGUCUUGGCCAGACCCACCAGCUUCUCUGGUGCUGGAUCCUGGGGAACCAGAUGGGAAAUCUCAGCCUCAACAAUCAACUCUUGCUUCUUCUCUACCUGGAGUCCAGCAGGAGGUACAGGGAGAUGGGCAGCAGCCACUCCUUGAGCCCCGUCUAGAAGCUUCUCUGGGUUCAGUGAUAUGCUGGGGCCCUCAACCAGAGAAUUCCUUGAAGCUCCUGCCUUUUCAGUAGGUAUACUCUGGGUCCGAUUGGUAACCAGGGCUCCAAGCACAGACUGCUCGAAGAUCUUGGUGAUGUGCUCUCUGAAGUCAGGAAGCCCUGCAAUUAUGCUGGUCUGCUUGGAGCUCCCUGACGCACCAGCCCUCAGAUCUGGGGUGAGUUCUACUGCCCUCUCCCUGCUGCCCCCUGUCUCUCCUGCUGCAUCCUCACUGACAGGGGAUGCUGGAGCCUCAGAGGACCUGGCAUUUGCUUCUGGAGUUGCAGUCACAUGCAUCUCUCUUGUCAUCUGCUCAUUUGGAGCCAGGUAAGUCAUCUUGUCCAGGUAGGGCAUAAGAUUCACAGGUCCGUCUGUGGUUCCAGCUUGGGGUCUUCCACUGCUAGCCCCUGCUGCAGGGAUUUCCCCACCUGAAGUUCCUGGUUGCAAGAGUGUAGUGAAGGAGACAUCUGAUACCUUUCCAGGAGUGCCAUUUUCCAAAACAGGUGGGAGCUCCUUUAUGGGGCAGGGACUUUCAUGAGAUACUCUGGGCCCCUCAGAGGAAACGGCUCUCAUGCUACCAUCUCCUGCAGCUUCCCUGGCAAUGCUGUUGAUAUGUAGGUAAGGGGCAUCGGGCAGAGUCUCUUCAGGUGGUCCAGCCGGCAGCAGCCUCCGUGGGUCUGAAACAGUGCCCAGUGCCAGAAUGUCCUCUGUACUUCCGGGAAUCCUAUCCGAUUCUCCAGCUGGCAGCAAGGCAUCCCCGCAGCUGGGCUCAAGCUGUUCAAGUUGGCACGGCUCAGUCAGGGUGGAGGUGUAAGCCUCUUUCCCAGACGUGGGGCACUGCUCGGUCUGAAAGAAGUCACCAUGCAGAGCAGCUUGCGCUCCCUCGGAAGCCUGCUGCAUCCCAGAGUCUCCUUCGCUGGCAUCAACAUUCACCUCGGCAGACCCACCAUCUUGCUCCUCCGCUCUGGGGAAAGUUCCAAGAGGCCCCUGGGCUUCUGCACCGAAGGUGGCCAGCUGCUCCAUUUCCAGCCUUGGGGCCGACUCUUCCUGGCUUUCAUCACAGGCCUCACUCUCUAGCGCAUCCCGGGUGGGUGUGACUCUGGGGCUGGUAGGCACUGGGGCUGGAGAACACUGUGCUGCAUGCAGGAGAGCUAUUGAGUCAGGUGGACAAGGCGGGGCCUCCACUAUGUCUUUACUUGCCCCGUCUGUCUUACCCAAGCCUUGAGGCAGGGGCGGUACAUCACCUGCUUCAGAAAUGCCUGAGUCCCCACAACGUGCUUCUUCACGCUGGCUACCUGCUUUCAAAGCAUCAGCCAGUUCCUGUUGGGACUUGCUCAGCCCCUGCCGGAUGCAGCAACUGUCCUUUCCACCCAGGUUUCCUGUAAGAGAGGUGUCUUCUGCAGGAUGCAGGAUCUCCGACGGCUGACUGCCACAGCCUGUGCCCUCUUGCUCAUUUACCUUUAGUGCGGGUGAUUGGGCCUUCUCACGGAGAAUGGAAAAGGUGAAUGCUUCUGGGUCCAGUUGGGACGGCUGGAGCGAGUUCUCAGAAGGUGGUGGGAGGCUGUCCUCUGGGCAGUACAGCUUUCUCUGACAGUCCUGUUCCAGACUGAGCGUGAGUCCAUGGCCCACUGUUGAGCUCUUCCCACUGUGGACUUCUUGUCCAGGUUCAUCCUUCUGCAGCCCACAAGGUUGGCCUGAGGAUAUUAGCAAGCCUUCCCCAUCACAGCCGCAGGGCCUCUGCAAGGCCGAGUGGCUCUUCUUUAUUUCCAAUAUAUUCUUCACCUCCCCAGCUCCGGGCACCUCCUCCACCGCUGGAGCAGACAGGAAAUCUGAUUUCUCAGAGUCUAAAGCAGGAAGUGACUCUGUUGUUCCCAAUUCUCCCCUGCCCCGAAGUAUGCUGGGGCUUUUGGUCUGAGAUCCUGAACUUUCGCAGAUGGCUGGUUGGAGAGAAACGUGCUCACCAGUUCCGUCUGAUGCUGAGGACAGGAUGGGGCCCUCCUCAGGGCGUUUGUGCAGUGAGGUGCAUGUGUCAAUUAGGUGGGAUUCAACAACCACUGCCUCUGCUGACCCAGCGUGGGGCCCUUCCUCGUGGCCAGCAACUGCCUGUCUAGGUGGCUGUGCUGAGCCUGAGUUGGGAGAGUCACUAUGUGGCUUUGAAAGCUCAUCUUUGCCAGACUCCAGAUGGAGCUCGCUGUGAAAGGCACGGGACCUCUCUUCCUCAUGGUUCCCAGACUGCGUACCAUCGAGGACUCUGGUGGCUUCUCGCUGUCUCUUAGGGUUGUCUCUGGGUGAUCUGCUUUCCUCUAUAACCAUGACCCUAUUUUCAGUAUUCUCAGGGGCCUUAGGGCCAUCAGUUGGUCCCACUGACUUUCUAGAACUUUCAUUUGAAACCCCAUGAGACAAAGUUGGCAGCAACAGCCUUUCUAGGACUGAAUCAUUUUGCCCUUGCAAUAAAGGGGCAGGGGCCCCUCGGAGACUA